GGGCCGGUAGCUCAGUCUGGCAGAGCACUCGGCUCUUAACUGGUUACGCUGAGGUUAACACACAAAAAAGCAUUCGACCACACGAAUGCUUCAGAAAAACCAAACGUCCAGCAGAGACACCGAGCGGUCGCGGGUUCAAAUCCCGUCUGGCCCA
rnacentral:tRNA from 1 species